rnacentral:lncRNA from 1 species
AUUCUUCCCAACCCAUUAGCCCAUUUAAGUGCAAGAUUUAAUCCUAGCCAUCUAUUUUCCUUCUAAUCCAAUGGUCAUCAUCAAUUUCCACCUCCCUAUAAAAUACCCAAUUAUAGAAACCCUACCCAAGUUUUCAUCUCCAAUACCUAGACUCUAAGCUAGCAACGACAGACCUCCCCUCCAUCGAUCAGAUCUGAGGCAUAGGAAGAGUUACAAAAAAAUCCAUAUAAAAUCAUAAGAGGGGACAUAUCUGGGGGCAAAAAAGAAAAGGAAAAAUAGAUCUAGAAAAGAUCUUCUUCUCUAAGAAGAAAGGAACGAAACAGAGGGAUAAAGAGGGCCUGGGAUUAGCUUAAUUUUAGCCGCAAAAAUCAGCUCCUUGCUCCUCCAAAAUACCUGUAAACCAGCCUCUCUUGCCCGUAAAACCAACUCCAAAUAACCACCAAAUUUCACCAACCUUUAGUAGCUUGUUCUCCAUUGAAACCAACUUCAAAAAGCUCUUCAAACACUGCAGAAAACGCAUCAGCAGUUCUAGCAAAACGCAACAGCGAUCGGCUUCUCAAAUUCCAUUUCCGAAAUCAGUUUCGAAGUCUUGUAAAUGCAGUUCCGCUAAUUCACUGCCUAGCCGGCGUUUCACCGGAGUUACGCCAUAUCCGGCCAGUUUUCUUUCACUAUAAAUGCAGCAGCUCUAUCCCCACUAACCGUUGUUGUUCUCUUAAGUUUGAACUCAGUCCGUCAAGGUCGUCGAGGUACCCCGGCCCGAUGUUUCCGUUUGGUUGAUGAUUCGGGUAGUGUUCGAAUUAUAUCGAUACUCUCCUCCUUGAUGUAUUCAAAGAGAUUCAAUAUUAGCCAAUUUUUCAAGCUUCUGUUCGUUUAAAGGUUAGCUUAUGUUUGCUAGUGUUUUUUACAGUACUAUUGCAUUGGUAUGGUCAUCUCUUAGCUAAUUUUUGUUGCUAUCGAUUUUGCAUAUCCAUGUUUAGUUCACAUAGACUAUUUUAUUAUCUUUGGUUUUCAAUAAGUACAUGUUUUCUUUCUUUUGAAUUUAAAAUAUAUAUAUACACGUAUAUAAUUAAAAGGGCUAUGUGAACUGUUAGCCAAAAAUUGAAAAGCUUUGUUAAUUGUUUAAACAUAUCCAUGUUUAUCUCUUCACGUGAAUUAUUUACGUGCUUCACUUAGUUGUCAAAAUUAGUGUCUUUAUUAGCUAGAUUGACAGUUAACCUUUAAGGUGCAAACGGAAACUACAUAGUGUAAAUGACCCUUACGACUUCAAAUAGCUAAAAUCAUAUACUUAUCCCACAAAUAAUUCCUAGUUUAUGGCCUCACAUUAAUCUCAAAUGUAGGAAAUAAUAUUAAAAAGUGUAGUUUCUUUAGGCACGUAAUUUAGAUUUCUUUUCUAAACUCGGGUGUACAUUUAUGUGACUCAAAUCCAAAUUUCAACAACGUUAGAUAAAAUAUGUCGUGGACCGCGGGUGCAUUUAUGUGACGUGGUUCAAAAUAUAUUUUAAAUGACGUUGCAAUUUUCUUUAAAAAUGAAUAAAAGCGGUUAAAGGUUUAAAAUUGCACCGUAGUUUAAAAUAUGUACUAAAAUCAAAUAAUAGGCCAAUUAUAACAGUUGAGCGACCGUGCUAGAACCACGGAACUCGGGAAUGCCUAACACCUUCUCCCGGGUUAACAGAAUUCCUUACCCGGAUUUCUGGUUCGCGGAUUGUUAAACAGAGUCAAUAUUUUCCUCGAUUCAAUUUGAAUCGGUGACUUGGGACACCAUAAAUUAUCCCAAGUGGCGACUCUGAAUUUUUAAUAAAUAAUCUCGUUUCGAUUGUUACUUGAAUUGGAAAAAACUCCCUUAUACAUAUCCUUCCGAGAUGUAGGUAAAAAGGAGGUGUGACACCUUCGUCAGGCGUGCGAUAAAUACAUGUGUGUAUUCCUCACACGACGUUACGUUUUGAAAGUUGUUCAUAAUUCAGCAAAGGUGAUUAUAUACAAUUACAAUAUCAUACCACUUAAAUAUAAUUGAUUGAGAUUUUUACAUUCCUAUAGACUAUAUGAAACUAUAUUACUCUCCCUACUCAAGUUUUAAUAUAAUUAUAUUUUAUAUACCCAAUUACCAUUUAUGUACAUUUUAAGGGAAUUAAUGAUAAUAAUUAGUGUACUAAAAUUACUCUAACAUAUCUUCCACUCCUCUAUGUGUCUCUCUCCACAUCUCAUCCCCCUCAUCCAUGUAUCUUGCACCCACUCACGAUUUCACCAUUGACAAACAUUAAAAAGUUUUGAAGCUUUGAAUUCGAAUUUGGGUUUUCAAAAUAAUUAUUUGUUUGAAUUGGAUGUUGUUGCAAAGAAUUGGGAAUUCUCUCCACGUCUCUCUCUAUCUCUCAAUCCCUAAUUUCAGUAAUGUAAAGCAAAGGAAAAUAGAGUAGCAAUUCCACCAUUGACAGCCAUUAACAAGCUUUGAAGCUUUGAAUUCGAAUUUGGAUUUUCAAAAAUUAUUAUUUGUUUGGAUUGGGUGUUGUUGCAAACAAUUGGGAAUAUGGUUUGGAGUUUAUAUCUCAAUUUUGAGGGAUUUUGGUAAAGAUUAAACUUGGUUUUGGCUGAAUUUCAGAUUGAAACUCGAAGGAGAAGAAGAAGAAGAUAUGAUAUACAAUAUAUUUACAAAAUUGUAGUAAAAUUGUAGAAAAAUUGUAUUCUGUUGUUUAUAUAUUUUUCUUUUAUUUAUUUAACUAUUGUAUGAAAGUUGAACAACAUUGUAUAAAAAUAAUAUUUAAGUUGUAUGAUAAUAUAGUUGUAUAUAACUGAGUAAAAAUAAUGUAAGAAAAUUGUAGAUAAAUUGUAUAAUAUACCAUUAGUUGUAUGAAAUUUAUUUUUACUGUAUAUAAAUCAGAUACAAAAUAUACAAAAGACAUAUUGUAUAAAUUUUUAUAUAAAAUUCGUAUUUAAGUUGUAUGUUAUUGUAGCUGUAUUUAACUUGGUAGAAGUAAUGUGUGAAAGUUGUAUAAUAUAUAAUUAAUUGUAUGAAAUUUAUUUUUACUGUAUAUAAAUCAAAUACAAAAUAUACAAAAGACAUAUUAAAAAUUUGUAUAAAAAUUAGGGAUUUUUUCAUUCCUAUACACUAUUUGAAACUUUAUUACCCUUAAUGUUCACGUUUAGUUAAUUACCCUACAUGAACAAGUUUUGUUUACAAAAUAUAUACAAUUCACCUUAAAAGGCUCCCAAUCCAUUAUUUGUACCUCCAAUCAAGGAAUGUAGUUACACCCUUUUCCUUUUUUCUCUCCUCUUUCCCAUUCUUUCCACCUACACUGCUCCUCACACUACGCUUUUGAAUUAUCCUCUCCUUUCUUUUCUUCUGUGCAUGGUCUGUAUGAUUGCAUCUAUUCUUUUCUCUUUGGUGCACCUGGCCGUGCAAUCUCAUGGCCAAUAUAUGGGUUUAUCACAUGAAGAUCUGCAUCGGCACAUCCAAAAUUUUUUGAAAAUAACAAACACUUAUAAAUUUUCAAGUGUCUCCUAAGACUACAUCAAACUAAUAUUAUUUUCAUUUUCACUACUGGGAGUUGUAUAUAAUCAUCUUUGCUGAAUUAUGAACAACUUUCAAAAUGUCGUGUACGGAAUACACACAUGUAUUUAUCUCACGCCUGACAAAGGAAUUUAUCCUCUCUUUGUUAAAAUCUGACAAUUUGGUAUAACCACGCUUUUACUUCCCCAGUAGUGAAAAUGAAAAUAAUAUUAGUUUGAUGUAGUCUGAGGAGACACUUGAAAAUUUAUAAGUGUUUAUUAUUUUCAGAAAAUGUUGGAUGUGUCGAUGCAGAUCUUCAUGUGAUAAACCCAUAUAUUGGCCAUGAGAUUGUACGGCCAGGUGCACCAAAGAGAAAAGAACAGAUGCAAUCAUACAGACCAUGCACAGAAGAAAGAAAGGAGAGGAUAAUUCAGAGGCAUAGUGUGAGGAGCGGUGUGGGUGGAAAGAAUGGGAAAGAGGAGAGAAAAAAGGAAAAGGGUGUAACUACAUCCCUUGAUUGGAGGCACAAAUAAUGGAUUGAGAGCCUUUUAAGGUGAAUUGUAUAUAUUUUGUAAACAAAACCUGUUUAUAUGGGGUAAUUAACUAAACAUGAAUAUUAAGGGUAAUAAAAUUUCAAAUAGUAUAUAGAAAUGAAAAAAUCUAACUUACCAUUACAUGUUUAAGCCCAAGUGAGCUUGUUUACAAAAACAAUAUU